UGAGGAACUCAAGUCUGUAAGUAUCAUAAGUUCAGAAAGAUACAAGAAUCACGACACGUAUAGGCAAACAUAUCAAGCAGUUAAAUCAGUAAAUCACAAGCAAAUGUGAGGAAGAGGGGCUGGCACAGAGACAACAAAAUGGGAAGCCUACCCAAAAUAAAUGGACCUCUGAGAAGAGAAAAAAACAUCAAAUAUACAUGAUAGAACACAUGAUAGAAGAUGCUUAGCAGGUCAUGGAAAAGGAAAAUGCUAAAAAGAAAAAAUCAAACAAAAUUAGCUGUUUACCAAGCUAAGCUUGUCCGUUCACAAAGCACGUAGGAAAGAAAAUAUACAUGUGGGCACAUAUAUGAAUCUUAAGAAAAAAAUGUAUUGGAAAUGAGAAUCCAUUACAACCCAAUAGCACAAUCCAAUAUCAAGUUAUCAACAUUUACAAAAGUUAAUGAUCCAAGAAUCAAAAGGUCCAAAACUUCUUUGUUUGUCAAAAACAGGAGUCAAACCAGAGUUACAGCCCCCAUACAUUUUAAUAUCUUAUAUAAACAAUAAUUAUAAAAAAUAUUUCUAUUAUAUUCACAGCUUACGUUAGGGAAAGGUAAGGAGAAGGAAAAAAUUAAAAAUAACUACAUUUAUUUCCCUGAAUUAGAAACCAAACUUUAUGCUCAUGAUAAUUUCUUCGACGAAAUGGGAUAACAAAAACAUAAAACCAUAUAAAAGGAUGCACAACAAAUUUGAUUUACCCACAUAGUAGUUGGAUUUCCAACUUCGACCUUUAUUAUCAAUUUUGGGAGAAUAAAUAAAUUUUUGAAUGUCAUCGGCAGUUUUAAUCAUUCCCAACUAUGGCUUUGAUGAUAAUGAUGAUGUGUGUAUUCAUGUGAGCGCAUAGAAUUGUGUGCUGGAUAGAUAUUAGAGAUUACGUGAUACAGGUGUCACACUAAUAAAUUUAAAAGGAUUUUUUAGAAGGAUUUAAAGCAUCUUUACACACAGAUAUUAUACAGUGGAGGCCCAUGUUCAAUAGGAGUUGUAUGUCAUCUCUACACACUCGUAUCAUAAACAGCAGUGGUUGACCCAUCUAUCCACCAAGUGCCAUCUCAUUCCUUUCUAUAGGUAACCAUAAAUGGUAAGCAGUUCUACUUUCACUUUUAUAUUUUUUUGCUAGACUGUAGACAUGUAAAAAGUAUUCGAAAUGGAGUUGAAUGAAUCAGGUAAACUGGAAGGUGUGCUUAAAGGAACAAAUGGCUAGGUGAUUCCUUCCUUCAAUAAUAAACUUUCAUUAAAAGAAACACAAAGGAACAGAACACUCAAGUAGAUGGAUGCAUAUAGGAUUUUGCGAUUGAGAUUCAAGAUUUACAGAUUGAGAGUGUUGAAGGACGGAUUUAUGUUUCCUAGCUUUACUUGGUGGAGUUUAUUAAUACAAGAAGAUUAUGUUUUCUAGGGUUGUUUAUUCGGAAACCAAUAAUAAUCUUUACGAAAUUCAGCUUCAUUUUGCUUUGAAACAACAUAAAGCUAAGUUUAGCUAUGGAUAAAAAUUGAACAUAAAGGAAUAAUGAGGUGCUCCCAUCAUAACAAAAAGUAAGAGAGCAUGACCCAGGCAACCCACUCUCUAUGCUCAAUUUAAAAUAUUAAAAUUAAAAACUUAAUAUAAAGAAGUAAACAAAGGAGAAGUUAUAGGCAACACACAAUUAGGAACCUCAUAUUGUGCAUUUGUCUAGAGCAUUCAUUAGUAUUAAGACCAAGAUGCAAAUACUUUGUAAAUGUAAUAUUUGCACUCUAACCCCUAGCUUAAUUAAAAUUUAUUCUCUCAACACUCUUGCUCAAGUGGUGAAAAUCAAACACGCAUUGCUUACCAUACACCACAGAAAAUGUAUCCAAAUCCACAAUCUCUGUAAAGAUAUCACCCUGGAUCUCAUGUUUAACAUACUAUGAGGAACCUCAUUUCUCUACUAACUUCCAUAAAUAACGGUUGACCUCUAUAAGCUGGAUAUUUCAUGAGAAAUGGUGUUGAGAGCAACCUAUAAUAUAGCUUGACUGCUCGGUUCUAACAUUCUCAUAGGCCUUUCAAGAAUGAAACACCUCCCUUGAAAGUGAUUUCAAGUACAUCAUACCCUAGUAUGCCUCGUAAUUCUAAUUUGCUUAAGUAUGGAAUUCCUUAUGAUAAUGUUUUUGUUUCUUAAUUUCCAUGUUAUUAGGUUACCCAACCAAUGAGGAAUGGAGCUAACAACCAUGCAAUCGCCUGCCUAGCAUCAGAAUCCCAACUAUCUCCACCAUUUUUUGGCUCUUUGAAAAAUAUUUCAUAACCUGGAACUUUCUAAGAUACAUCACAUACUACAACCUGUCUCCCAAUGUUGUUAUUUCCACUUGUGUAUAAAUUGACCAACUAUUACAACACCUAUGGUUAAACAUUAGUAGAGUCUCAUUUAAUAACAAAAAA